AGCCGAGUGCCUUGCUCUGUGUCAGGGCGCGUUGUUUGGAGGAUGCUUUCACCCCGGUGCAGCCUGACUCUUAUCCCUUUUGUCUGCAGGGCAAGGGCCGCCCAGCUGGCUGCACUGUCACCUUCCCAACGCCACCAGAUGUGCCUCCGAGCCGUGCUGUGCAGGGGACCGGCCCCAGGGGUCCUCCCCCGCCACCUCAGCUGCUGAUCCCCAGCCAUCUACCCCACGAAAUCCCUGAUCUGCGCCUGCUGUUCCUCCAACGACUUGUGCUGUGGACCGCUGGUUGCUGCCCUGUGCUCAGCAUGCCCUUUUCUGGUGCAACCAGACCCUCCAAGGAAUCGCUCUGGAGCUCGAGGCUGGCCUGCAGGGUAAGGUAAGGUGAGCUCAGACACUUUUCCAGUCCCAGGGGUCUUUGUGGAUGCACCGUGGUCUCCCUUAGGCUAUAAAAUGCCUGCAGGGAGGACAUG
rnacentral:lncRNA from 1 species